GCCGGACACAGUGGCGCGUGCCUGUAGUCCCAGCUACUCGGGAGGCUGAGGUGGGAGGAUCGCUUGAGCCCAGGAGUUCUGGGCUGCAGUGUGCUAUGCCGAUCGGGUGUCCACACUAAGUCCGGCAUCAAUAUGGUGACCUCCCGGGAGCGGGGGACCACCAGGUUGCCUAAGGAGGGGUGAACCAGCCCAGGUCGGAAACAGAGCAGGUCAAAACUCCCAUGCUGAUCAGUAGUGGGACUGCACCUGUGAAUAGCCACUGCACUACAGUUCUGCAACAUAGCGAGACUCUA
ensembl:misc_RNA Metazoa_SRP Metazoan signal recognition particle RNA